UGCAAGUCGAACGGCAGCACGGGGGCAACCCUGGUGGCGAGUGGCGAACGGGUGAGUAAUACAUCGGAACGUGCCCAGUAGUGGGGGAUAGCCCGGCGAAAGCCGGAUUAAUACCGCAUACGACCUAUGGGUGAAAGCGGGGGAUCGCAAGACCUCGCGCUAUUGGAGCGGCCGAUGGCAGAUUAGCUUGUUGGUGGGGUAAAGGCCUACCAAGGCGACGAUCUGUAGCUGGUCUGAGAGGACGACCAGCCACACUGGGACUGAGACACGGCCCAGACUCCUACGGGAGGCAGCAGUGGGGAAUUUUGGACAAUGGGCGCAAGCCUGAUCCAGCCAUGCCGCGUGCGGGAAGAAGGCCUUCGGGUUGUAAACCGCUUUUGUCAGGGAAGAAAAGCUCCGGGCCAAUACCCCGGAGUCAUGACGGUACCUGAAGAAUAAGCACCGGCUAACUACGUGCCAGCAGCCGCGGUAAUACGUAGGGUGCAAGCGUUAAUCGGAAUUACUGGGCGUAAAGCGUGCGCAGGCGGCUUUGCAAGACAGAUGUGAAAUCCCCGGGCUUAACCUGGGAACUGCAUUUGUGACUGCAUGGCUGGAGUGCGGCAGAGGGGGAUGGAAUUCCGCGUGUAGCAGUGAAAUGCGUAGAUAUGCGGAGGAACACCGAUGGCGAAGGCAGUCCCCUGGGCCUGCACUGACGCUCAUGCACGA
rnacentral:rRNA from 1 species